UACGUAGGGUGCGAGCGUUAAUCGGAAUUACUGGGCGUAAAGCGUGCGCAGGCGGUUUUGUAAGCCAGAUGUGAAAUCCCCCGGGCUCAACCUGGGAAUGGCAUUUGGGACUGCAAGGCUGGAGUGCGGCAGAGGAGACUGGAAUUCCUGGUGUAGCAGUGAAAUGCGUAGAUAUCAGGAGGAAUACCGAUGGCGAAGGCAGGUCUCUGGCUGGACACUGACGCUCAUGCACGAAAGCGUGGGGAGCAAACAGGAUUAGAAACCCU
rnacentral:rRNA from 1 species